AAUCAACACCAUGCCAACAUGUUCUGUAGUCCGAAGGUCACUCAAACAUCUGGCCCCACAGUCUUGUUCUUUAAGUGCCUUAUGAUUAACUUCUGGAUGUAUUGUUUCAAAACAAUGAGGAACUUCUUGCUUAAUUCUAUAAAGGGGUAGUAAAUCAUGACUCAGGAAAUGUCUCAGCUGAAGGUCAUUGCAUAAGGAAGCAGAGAUACUGAGACAGAAAGUUUGUCCACAUUUUUGUAUAACAACUGCGGUUGAUAUCACCUGCAGGAAUCAGAAGGUUUCAUCCUGUUGCUGGUGCUAGCAU